CGUCAGCUGAGUAGAGAAAGGCAGUCGAGAUAUACAGGAAGGAGAACGAAUGAUGAGGGUAAAAUGUGACCUCCUGUUCUUUAUUACAAUAAUCAGAAAACUAAUUAAAUGAGGAUGGCAAAUCAAGUGCUGGCUGACAAAUCACUCUCAGGGUUGAACCCAUCCAGACAAGUCUGCUUUUGUUCUGUUUUUACUGAUUAAUGACACAAAGCUGGAGGAGUUCAUCCCUGUUGGCCUCAGUGAAUGCAAAAGCCAUGUAAAGAAUGGGAACAGGAGCACACACACACAAACAGGACAGAGACGGAGCAGAAAAAUGGCAGAGAGGAAGAGGAGCGCUGUGUGGCUAUAUUUUCAGGCCGAAAAUGAAACAACAGCUCUAUAAUUUGUAAAAA